GACGAACGCUGGCGGCGUGCUUAACACAUGCAAGUCGAACGGUAAGGCCCUUCGGGGUACACGAGUGGCGAACGGGUGAGUAACACGUGGGUGAUCUGCCCUGCACUUCGGGAUAAGCCUGGGAAACUGGGUCUAAUACCGGAUAGGACUCCUGGCUUCAUGGUUGGGGGUGGAAAGCUUUUGCGGUGUGGGAUGGGCCCGCGGCCUAUCAGCUUGUUGGUGGGGUAAUGGCCUACCAAGGCGACGACGGGUAGCCGGCCUGCGAGGGUGACCGGUCACACUGGGACUGAGAUACGGCCCAGACUCCUACGGGAGGCAGCAGUGGGGAAUAUUGCACAAUGGGCGAAAGCCUGAUGCAGCGACGCCGCGUGAGGGAUGACGGCCUUCGGGUUGUAAACCUCUUUCAGCUAUGACGAAGCGCAAGUGACGGUAGUAGCAGAAGAAGGACCGGCCAACUACGUGCCAGCAGCCGCCGCCG
rnacentral:rRNA from 1 species